UCGAGCGAGAAAGUCCCCGCAAGGGGAUGAGUAAAGCGGCGAACGGGUGAGUAACACGUGGGCAACCUGCCCUUCAGUCAGGAAUAACCCCGCGAAAGCGGGGCUAAUACCGGAUAAUGUCCUCUGGGGGCAUCCUCGGGGGACCAAAGGGGGCGAGCGAAAGCGGCUCCCGCUGUAGGAUGGGCCUGCGGCUGAUUAGCUAGUUGGUGGGGUAGCGGCCUACCAAGGCGACGAUCAGUAGCCGACCUGAGAGGGUGACCGGCCACACUGGGACUGAGACACGGCCCAGACUCCUACGGGAGGCAGCAGUGGGGAAUAUUGCGCAAUGGGCGAAAGCCUGACGCAGCGACGCCGCGUGGGUGAUGAAGGCCUUCGGGUCGUAAAACCCUGUCGGGUGGAACGAAUUCCGCCUCGCUAAUACCGAGGCGGCUUGACGGUACCACCGAAGGAAGCCCCGGCUAACUACGUGCCAGCAGCCGCGGUAAUACGUAGGGGGCGAGCGUUGUUCGGAUUUACUGGGCGUAAAGAGCGCGUAGGUGGUUCGAUGAGUCGGAGGUGAAAUCCCUCGGCUUAACCGAGGACCCGCGUCCGAUACUGUCGAACUUGAGUGCAGGAGAGGAGAGCG
rnacentral:rRNA from 1 species